rnacentral:rRNA from 1 species
GAUGAACGCUGGCGGCGUGCCUAAUACAUGCAAGUCGAGCGAACAGACGAGAGUGCUUGCACUCUCUGACGUUAGCGGCGGACGGGUGAGUAACACGUGGGUAACCUACCUAUAAGACUGGGAUAACUUCGGGAAACCGGAGCUAAUACCGGAUAAUAUUUAGCUUCGCAUGAAGCAAUAGUGAAAGACGGUUCUGCUGUCACUUAUAGAUGGACCCGCGGUGUAUUAGCUAGUUGGUGAGGUAACGGCUCACCAAGGCAACGAUACAUAGCCGACCUGAGAGGGUGAUCGGCCACACUGGGACUGAGACACGGACCAGACUCCUACGGGAGGCAGCAGUAGGGAAUCUUCCGCAAUGGACGAAAGUCUGACGGAGCAAUGCCGCGUGAGUGAAGAAGGUUUUCGGAUCGUAAAACUCUGUUGUAAGGGAGGAACAAGUACGUUAGUAACUGAACGUACCUUGACGGUACCUUACCAGAAAGCCACGGCUAACUACGUG